rnacentral:misc_RNA from 1 species
UUGAUUUUAAUUAUUUGUGAAGGUAAUACUAAUUAACAAAAAUUAUAAUGUCAAAACAAAAAAAAUCAAAACUUUUAACAAUGGAUCUCUUGGUUCUCGUAUCGAUGAAGAACGCAGCGAAACGCGAUAUUUCUUGUGAAUUGCAGAAGUGAAUCAUCAGUUUUUGAACGCACAUUGCACUUUGGGGUAUCCCCCAAAGUAUACUUGUUUGAGCGUUGUUUCUCUCUUGGAAUUGCAUUGCUUUUCUAAAAAAUGGAAUCAAAUUCGUUUGAAACAACAUUAUUUCAACCUCAGAUCAAGUAGGAAA